UACGGAGGGGCUAGCGUUGUUCGGAAUUACUGGGCGUAAAGCGCACGUAGGCGGCUUUGCAAGUUAGAGGUGAAAGCCCGGGCUCAACUCCGGAAUUGCCUUUAAGACUGCAUCGCUCGAAUCAUGGAGAGGUGAGUGGAAUUCCGAGUGUAGAGGUGAAAUUCGUAGAUAUUCGGAAAGAACACCAGUGGCGAAGGCGACUCACUGGACAUGUAUUGACGCUGAGGUGCGAAAGCGUGGGAGCAA
rnacentral:rRNA from 1 species